UACGUAGGUCGCGAGCGUUAUCCGGAAUUAUUGGGCGUAAAGAGUUCGUAGGUGGUUUGGCAAGUCUGAUGUGAAAGCCAACGGCUUAACCGUUGAACUGCAUCAGAUACUACCAAUCUAGAAUUUAGCAGAGGAAACUGGAAUUCCAUGUGUAGCGGUGGAAUGCGUAGAUAUAUGGAGGAACACCGAUAGCGAAGGCAGGUUUCUGGGCUAUAAUUGACACUAAGGAACGAAAGCGUGGGUAGCAAACAGG
rnacentral:rRNA from 1 species